UCCCCACAACCGCCUGCCCGCACCUCUCCCUCCUCCGGUCCUCCCUCGUCUCAGCCGCCACCCCAUGAACCCUAGCCGCGCCCUCCUGCAUUUGUCCUCCUCCCCCUUCCUAGUCUGCCCCAAGCCCCUCCUCGUCUGAUGAGCUAGCCGAGGAGAAGCGGGGUGGCGCGAUGCCCUGGUCGUCCGCCGGCGGGGAGCCUGUGUAGAGGCGGUGGCGGAGACGACCCUAGAUGGUGCCCCGGCCAAGAUCUGAACAGGGCGCCUCAACCUCGCCUUCCUCUUCCACCUACUUGCUGAUAGAGAGACAGCAGCAGCGGUGGGAGGAGGCUGGGCGUAGAGGAGAGAAGUGGCCGAGGGGGGUGCAAAGCCAGGAGAUGGGGGUCGCCGGAUGAGCAUAGCCGCACAGGGCCUAAUCCCGCCGCUGCCAGAGCAGAGUGGAGGACCACACGGGCCCGAUGGGGUGGCCGGGAGCGCGCGACAUCCGUCUCCCAAGCGGCUCCCAAGCAGGGAAUGCAGCGGUGCUGGCCUCUCCUCUCCCCGCGCCUCUGUCCUGCAUCGUCACUACUGCCACGGCCUUGCUCGCCAUCGACCUCCCCAAGUGCUUCUCUCCACAAAUGGUGCCUCCAUGUCCAGACCAAUUCAAGCGCGAGGAAAGUACAACACGUGCACGUAACUUGUUUGAGGAAAUUCCAUCUGGAAGCAAUAUUUGAUCAUGACUUGUGUUCUUGAUGCUUCAUCUACGGCUAGCUGACUACAACAACACAUAUGUAAAGGGAAACCAUCGUAAGAAACACAGGUAAAAAGGGAUUUUCCUUGUUCUUAUAGUUUUGGAUCAAAGUUCACGUUUACCUUGAGUGACUCUUUUUUGUUAUACAAUGGAUUCAACAAUAAUCAAUAAGGAAGUGCAAACUGAGAGGGGUGGGAAAAAUAACCUGAGCAAAGAGCUAAGAUGAAAUGCUACUUUCUAGUGAUUUGUUGUGGCCUGUUAAUUUUUCAGUAUGGAGCUUGAAGUUUUAAUGCAGAUAGGAAGUUUCAUUUUAUUCUUAUCCACAUGCUUACUAAAUUUACAUUUUUAUUUCAUUUCUGGAAAGAGUCAACCUUAAAUAAUUUAGAGGACUCUUCAGAUAAUAAGAGAAAAGCCAUAUAGGUCAUAAAUGCAUAGGCAUUCAAAAAAAAGGCACAAAAAUUGAGCUAGAAGGUAUGUAUAAAUUCAUGUGAAACUGAGACAUAGGCAAGCAUACAAAGGAAUUUUGCAGGAUCAUUCCUACGAUCUGGAGGGCCAUUAUAGCCAGAUUUACCUAACGUCUCUAAGAAAAUAUUUUGAAACUCGGAUCAUCCAGAUAUAUCAACAUGGAAAAGUCUGCUGAAAGAAACUUUUGCAGCUGAAGAUGCCUGAUUAUACUUCCUAUGGGCUUGUUUUGAAAAGAAUUUUUCCUGGCAUGCCAUAUGUCAGCCCCCAACCAUCUCUCUCUCUCCCGCACUCAUUUUCUCUCUCUCACGUUUUGCCUUUGAGGCUGUAGAUCUAAGCACUAGUUGUUUGUAAAAAUGCUCAAGGUGGGCUACUUAGAGGAGGGCAGUAUGUUCUACAGUUUUAGUUAUAUGAUUACAUACAUCUAAAUAAAAGUUUACAUGAUUCUAUAAUUAUUGUUGGAGAUUUUUACUCACAGUAAAUUUCUUCAAAGGAUCUGUUUAAAGACAACAGGCAUAUAUUUGUACAGAGAUCAUAUUAUUUUGAUACCCAUGUAAGUUCUCUUAUCACUUUGAUGUGCAUCUUCUUUAGGAACUUACCUCGUUGCAAUUUCUGGUCAUGCUUUGCAUAGCUAAAUCGGUAUCAAGAAUAUUGUAUUGUUUAUUUCUUACCAUGUCUGAUCAACUAAUAUGGCUACGUCUAUGCAAUAAUUUUAUAGAUGAAGUUGGUGGUUCAUGGAGACCCAAGGUGCACUGACAGAAGAUAUCAGAGGAGCAGAGGAAAAUGCAAGUGUGUAUGUGUGAAAAAUUAUUGCUUUAACUCAAGAUCAGCUCUUCGUUCUUUCAAGCGCUAUGUUGCUUACUCAAAUGUUUGUGGCGAUUGUAUCCUUGUGCCAUGAAUAUUUGUACUUAGCAUAUCAAUAUAAACAUAUUGUCUAUCUAUUUACCAAUUCAGAAUUUAAAGCACUUUAUUUUAUGGCCUUGAGUAAAAGUUCAGUCGUUGUUGGCUAGAAGACAUCUUCAAUACGCCGUCAACACGAGCUUCCGAAGAAAGAAGAUUUGGUGGAUGAUGUAAGAUAUCCACAUGUUGUAUAUGUGGAAAAACCAAAGGCUCGGGAUGUUGAUUUUUCGGAUGAAAUGAUUUAUCAGGCAAAAACUACAAGUGAAAUGGAAGAACUAACCUCAAAAGCCUGAAUAGAAUUCCUUGGCAAAGGGUAGAUGUUAGCUUCAAGAGAAGUAGACAAUGGAUUUUUGCCCAUAGCACCAUUCAGGUCCAGUUGUCGUUGCCUUCACUUGCUUUGUCGUUUACCGAUCUGUCAGCUCGCCGGUUCCCUGACUUGCUGUCAAAGUUUGUGUUCUAUGCCUCCAUUUUCUGUUUUAUUUCUUUUUGUUUCUCUAUAUUACUUACUAUUUUAUUCUGCUACCUGACCAGGUGUUGCGUGCGUGCUUUAUUUGUUUGUUUCGGUUUCUUAUGCUGCUUAUUUCAUUUAUACUGCUUCCUGUGCCAGGAUGUGCCUUGCUGUGUCUUUUGUGAUCCCAAUUUUUUAGACCCUGGUGGCGCAAUUUUGUUUGCCCGCUCUUUCAUGCGUGUGUGAGAUUAUUGACGAUGGGGUUGUGCUUGUUGGGGUGGAGCCAAAGCAGUGUCUCCCCGCCGUCAGAUAGGAUGUUCUUCUGGGCAACUGGCGGUACAGGGGCACUGUCUGCCUAUGAACAGGCUGCUCUGCAAGCUAUAAAAUUCUUGCAGGGACGAUGUAAAUCAUGUUGCUGUUGAUUAGGAUGAUUCAUAUACAACUUGGGUCUAUAUUUUUGUUAGCUUGAUUAGGGGAGAGACAGAGGCAGGGAGGUGCCUAGGAUGAGUAGGAAGGCUCUGGGAAAUUUUUUGCCGAACCUGUGUAUGUUCUGUUUUGCCCAGUUGAAUGUGUACACUUCAUGUCAUAUAGCAUAAUAAUAGCAGAUGAUAAACUAUCGUUGUCAUAUUAUUGAACUUGAUAUCCUAUUUGAACUAGACAGAUAAUUUUGACAAGAUUUUAUCCUGGCGUAAACAUGCUGUCAUAGUGUCAACACAAUAAUAAUAGAAAAACCUUCUCAAAAUUCAGGUGAGGUGAAGCAAGCAAGCACCUCCCCGUGUUUUAUAUGUAAGCGAUCACCUCCCCGUAUUGCUUUUCCCGACCAUUGUUCAUUUAAACCUUUCUUCUGUAUUGGCGCUACUGGAUAACCAUUAUUGAUUUACCAAAAAGGAAUCAUAACACUACAGGUCAUGGAAAAUAGAUAUAAUUAGCACAUAAUCCUGCAAGUCUCACCUAAUAUGCACAUGUCGUUUCCGUUUUCCAAAAUAUAUACCAUUGAGAAACUUACUGGAUGCAGUGCAGAUUCUAGGAUAUUAACAUUUGCAGCCAUACGUUGGUUUCAAUGGUGACAGAUUUUUGUCAAUCCCACAGAGAUAAUUUACUUCAAGACUAGCAAAUACAUUCUGAUCGAGGAGAGAGCAAGCCGUUGCAGAGGAGAGGGGAUACGACGGUGGGCGGAGGUCAGGCAUUGCUAACAGAUUUGCGGUGGAGUGGGAGAGGUGACGCCGGCCGGCCGGCGCCUCACCACCGGCUCCUGUUUGGCGGCGGCAAAGAGAAGGGUGCCGAGGAUGUGUUUCUCUAUGCAUGGCUGUCGAAGUACAUCAUCUUUAUGAUGUGUAUGGUUUCUCUAUUUUCAGCCCUACCGCUCCAAAGCCCGAAUCCCAUGACCAUGCCCCCACCUCUCCUUCGUUGAAUGAAGGGAGUCUGGUUGCUAAAAAGUGAGUUUUCUUAAUCGGUAUGUAUGGCCCCUCUGCACAUGUCAUUUCUUCGUAUUUAAGAUUCCCUCAAGCUUUGUCAGUUUUCUGAUAGAUAUGGAAUUUUAAUUUGAUAGUCCCAACAACGGUGGGUACUGACGGAUCUAUCUAUUAUUUAUUGUCAAUCUGUAAUACUUUUGUCAGCUUCUAGCAUGUCGUUCCUCUACCAGAGUGCAAUUUUCUCUGCAUGGCAUACACCAGUUACCAUUAGUUGAUAUGUUUGUUGAAGUUUUAUUGCAAGUUAAAUAAAUGUGUAGUAUGACAUACUGAUUAUUAUAGUUUGAUAAUGUCAGGUGCCGAUGGCUUUAUAGAUAUGUAAAUAAAAUACCUUUAAGUAAUACUAAGCAUUUAAUUAUUGUUCUGUUAUGUUAUUGAUUUCACCGGCUUUAUGUCGGCCGAUUAGUUCUGAAGGAUUCCACAUCGGCUAAUUUAGAUUAUGUUACUAGAGUAUUAGAAGAAGUUCUUGAUAUAUGUAUUUAGAGCAUUUGCUGAGAUUUGAUGCAAAAUAUUGAUGACCAGGCAUUAUAUUGCGCAUAAGAGCAAUUCUUUAGUUUUUCUUUUUAUUGUUGCAGCAGCUUUUCUAUAGCAAUAGCCAAAUAGUGUGACAUAACACUAUUCCAUUUUCACAGGCCAUAACACAUCUUUACAUGUAAGUUUGUUCUCCAAAUAGUUCUCUUUCCAAGAUUUUCAUAUCAUAUUUGUCGAGGGAUCUGACUGCUUUACCAUAUUUUCCUGGUGUGGACGAUGUUAUAGAGUGAGCUACCAUCACUUCUCAUUACUGACUGUAAUCAAUUAUAUGUGUUUAUGCCAUAAAAGAUGGAUAUUUGUUGAAGCCAUUGUCGUGUCAUGUAAUUACUUGCAGAUCAACUAUAUAGUUUUGUUCGGAUUGUAAAGUGGAAACGAUAAAACCCUACAACUCAUGUGUGAUUGUCAUUUGAUUAUUUAGUUCCUCAAGUAGUAUGGAUAUGGUGCUGCCAGGAUAUUAAGUAUAUUAUGAAGUUGUAUAAACCACGUUCUAUGAUUCACUUCUGUUCUGCAUAUUUACUUUCCAGUUUUAGGACUGAAAUCCAUCCAUUGUAAUGAAUUUUGUUGUAUGGGCAUUACCUAUUUGACUUAGGCUUGCUUCAUCACAUAUAGACUGCUUUUCUUUUCCCCACUGCUUGUAUGGCCUAAAACUAUCAUGUAUAUGAGGCAAGUUAUUAGCAAUGUUUCACAUUUUCUUACUUG